GUGAGUUGGAACAUUAGUGAAGCAGCAACAGCAGCCUGCUAGACCAAGCCAAGAGGACAGAGCUGGCAUAGACAUGUGCUGGCUUGAGGAGCCUACAGACUCACCAGAAAGCAUAAGGAAUCAUUUUCAGGAGCUGCAUUGGGACUGAAAAGUAGGAACUUCUCAAUUGGUUAAAAUCUCUUCAGCACUUUGAAGAUUCAUUUACAAAGAAUAAUGGAUACCACACACAUACAAAGAAGGCAGCGUUCAUGUCUGGUACAUGAGAAGACAACCCACUGUGGACAGAAUAUUUGAAGAAACAAUUAGGGAAGGCUGAAAGAAGCUGAGAAGUAGGACUUCCCUGUAGGAAGACCAGCAGUCUCAAUUAACCUGGAUCCCCGAGAUCUCUCAAACACUGAACUACCAAACAGUCAGCAUAUAUGAACUGAUAUGAAGCCCCAACACACAUACAGUAGAAGACUGCCAUG
rnacentral:lncRNA from 1 species